CACAUGCAGUCGGGCGGUAACAGAGAUAGCUUGCUAUCUGCUGACGAGCGGCGGACGGGUGAGUAAUGCAUAGGAAUCUGCCUGAUAGUGGGGGAUAGCCCAGAGAAAUUUGGAUUAAUACCGCAUACGCCCUACGGGGGAAAGCCGGGGACCUUCGGGCCUGGCGCUAUCAGAUGAGCCUAUGUCGGAUUAGCUUGUUGGUGAGGUAACGGCUCACCAAGGCGACGAUCCGUAGCUGGUCUGAGAGGAUGAUCAGCCACACUGGGACUGAGACACGGCCCAGACUCCUACGGGAGGCAGCAGUGGGGAAUAUUGGACAAUGGGCGCAAGCCUGAUCCAGCCAUGCCGCGUGUGUGAAGAAGGCCUUCGGGUUGUAAAGCACUUUCAGCGAGGAGGAAAGGGGUGAUGCUAAUAUCAUCGCCCUGUGACGUUACUCGCAGAAGAAGCACCGGCUAACUCCGUGCCAGCAGCCGCGGUAAUACGGAGGGUGCGAGCGUUAAUCGGAAUUACUGGGCGUAAAGCGCGCGUAGGCGGAUAAUUAAGUCAGCUGUGAAAGCCCCGGGCUCAACCUGGGAACUGCAGUUGAUACUGGUUAUCUAGAGUACAGUAGAGGGUGGUGGAAUUUCCUGUGUAGCGGUGAAAUGCGUAGAUAUGGGAAGGAACAUCAGUGGCGAAGGCGGCCACCUGGACUGAUACUGACGCUGAGGUGCGAAAGCGUGGGGAGCGAACAGGAUUAGAUACCCUGGUAGUCCACGCCGUAAACGAUGUCAACUAGCCGUUGGGGGACUUGAUCCUUUAGUGGCGCAGCAAACGCAAUAAGU
rnacentral:rRNA from 1 species